UACGAAGGUGGCAAGCGUUGUUCGGAUUUACUGGGCGUACAGGGAGCGUAGGGGGUUCGGUAAGCCCCUCGGGAAAUCUCCAGGCUUAACCUGGAAAGGUCGGGGGGGACUGCCGGGCUAGAGGACGGGAGAGGAGCGCGGAAUUCCCGGUGUAGCGGUGAAAUGCGUAGAGAUCGGGAGGAAGGCCGGUGGCGAAGGCGGCGCUCUGGAACGUUCCUGACCCUGAGGCUCGAAAGCGUGGGGAGCAAACAGG
rnacentral:rRNA from 1 species